rnacentral:rRNA from 1 species
UACCGGAGCCACAAGUAGGUGACCACUUUUAUUGGGUCUAAAGCGUUCGUAGCCUGUUUAGUAAGUUUCUUGUGAAAUUGUUGGGCUCAACCUAACAACGGGCAAGAAAUACUACUGGACUUGAGACCGGGAGGAGUUAGAGGUAUUCCAAGGGGAGCGGUAAAAUGUUAUAAUCCUUGGAGGACCACCGAUGGCGAAGGCAUCUAACUAGAACGGGUCUGACGGUGAGGAACGAAGGCUAGGAGAACGAUAAGGAUUAGAUACCCCCGUA